AGUGAACGCUGGCGGUAGGCCUAACACAUGCGAGUCGAACGGCAGCACAGGAGAGCUUGCUCUCUGGGUGGCGAGUGGCGGACGGGUGAGGAAUACAUCGGAAUCUACUCAGUCGUGGGGGAUAACGUAGGGAAACUUACGCUAAUACCGCAUACGACCUACGGGUGAAAGCAGGGGAUCUUCGGACCUUGCGCGAUUGAAUGAGCCGAUGUCGGAUUAGCUAGUUGGCGGGGUAAAGGCCCACCAAGGCGACGAUCCGUAGCUGGUCUGAGAGGAUGAUCAGCCACACUGGAACUGGGACGCGGUCCAGACUCCUACGGGAGGCAGCAGUGGGGAAUAUUGGACAAUGGGCGCAAGCCUGAUCCAGCCAUACCGCGUGGGUGAAGAAGGCCUUCGGGUUGUAAAGCCCUUUUGUUGGGAAAGAAAUCCAGCUGGCUAAUACCCGGUUGGGAUGACGGUACCCAAAGAAUAAGCACCGGCUAACUUCGUGCCAGCAGCCGCCGUAG
rnacentral:rRNA from 1 species